rnacentral:rRNA from 1 species
GGAAAUCUAAUCGCUUAACUAUUAGGCUUCCAGGGGAUACUGUUAGACUUGGGACCGGGAGAGGUAAGAGGUACUGCAGGGGUAGGAGUGAAAUCUUGUAAUCCCUGUGAGACCACCAGUGGCGAAGGCGUCUUACCAGAACGGGUCCGACGGUGAGGGACGAAAGCUGGGGGCACGAACCGGAUUAGAUACCCGGGUAGUCCCAGCUGUAAACGAUGCUCGUUAGGUGUCAGGAACGGUGCGACUGUUUCUGGUGCCGAAGGGAAGCCGUGAAACGAGCCACCUGGGAAGUACGGCCGCAAGGCUGAAACUUAAAGGAAUUGGCGGGGGAGCACUACAACGGGUGGAGCCUGCGGUUUAAUUGGACUCAACGCCGGAAAACUCACCGGGGGCGACAGCAAUAUGUAGGUCAGGUUAAAGGUCUUACCUGAAUCGCUGAGAGGAGGUGCAUGGCCGUCGUCAGUUCGUACUGUGAAGCAUCCUGUUAAGUCAGGCAACGAGCAAGACCCGUGCCCACUGUUACCAGCAUAUCCUUUAUGGAUGAUGGGGACUCUGUGGGGACCGCUGCUGCUAAAGCAGAGGAAGGUGCGGGCUACGGUAGGUCAGUAUGCCCCGAAUCUCCCGGGCUACACGCGGGCUACAAUGGUUGGGACAAUGGGUAUCUACUCCGAAAGGAGUUGGCAAUCCCUUAAACCCAAUCGUAGUUCGAAUUGAGGGCUGUAACUCGCCCUCAUGAAGCUGGAAUCCGUAGUAAUCGCGUUUCAACAUAGCGCGG